CUCUUUGCCCUCUCGGGGCGGAAGGAACGCGGCGGGCCUGAGACAGGGCUGGCGCGGCCUGAAGCGCCAGCCUUUGGCGAUGCUGCGGCCGGCCGGCUGCUCGGUGUCGGGCUCCUCCGCCAGCGUCGAGCUGGAGUCGCGCGCCGGCCCGCUGUGGGGUCGGGCGUCCGAGGCCCAGCCGGCCCGAGAAGUAGGCUCGGUCCGAGCUGGACGCUGCAGGUUCUGACCUCGAAACGGGGGCCUGAGUCCUUCAAGAGCCUGGGGGCGAAGAGACGAGAAGGCGGCUGCAUUUUGCUGAAUGGUGGUGGUGUUUGGGGUUUUUAAAAAUCCUUUCUCCCCCAUUUUCCUUUUUACACUUUUUUUCUUUAAAAAAGAUUUUUUUUGGUCUUUGCUCUUUUAUUCGUUGGGGGAGUGAAUGCUGUCAGUGGCGAAGUAAAAUUAGGAAGGGGCCCUUGCCCGGCUGGCGCCUUCUCUGCGCGCUGACCUGCGGGCGAGGCUUGGGGCAGAGCUCGGCGGAGGGCGGAGGCCGCAAGUGGAGGGCCAUGCAGAUUGGAUCAAACCAGAAAUAAGGCUCUCUGUCCAGAAAAAGCCUUCACUGAAAGAAAUAACGUGCUUAAGGAAGGAACGUAUAAGUCAGGAAUUGAGCCAAGAAAAGCCUGCGAAGUAAAUAUUUGGCAGGGUCCCAGUCUGAAGGGGAAAGUCUCCCGAGCAGUUCUGGAGGCCAGAAUCUGAAAUCAAAGUGUCAACAGGGCUAUGCUCCCAGAAGCUUUAGGAGAGAAUCUGUUCCUUGGCUUUUCCAGUUUCUGGUGUCUGCUGGCAUUCCUGGGCUUGAAGGCACAAUCAGUUCAUCUUCAAUUGCCUUCUCUGGGGAGACGUGGUUGUGCACCCAUGAAACUGACCUUGUUUGGGAGUCAUGGACAUAUGCAUGAUAUUUAAAGCCAUGAGAUUGGAUGAGAUCAUCAAAGGAAUGAGAUCAUCAAAGGAUGGAGAAGAGGACCAGAGGCUGUGGUCAUCGGGAUGAACAAAACUGAGUAAGCAGAUGGGAGCUGCUUCAGGGAGUGUUGGGAGCUCAAGCUGUGUGAGAGGGGCUCAAAGCCCAGGGUGCUAGAUGGUACCAGCUACUUCUGCACGGUUGCCAAUGGAAACCAGAUAACUGGACUCUGACUGAAGCAGACAUGCCACCUUACGUCUUCCAUGAGAAGGACCGUAGGUUUCUGGCACAGUCCAAGUGUCCAGAGGAUUGUCAACACUCGUAUCAAUGGGCCCGUAGCUCCUGGAUUCCAGGGAAGGCAUCACUCCUCGUGGCUCUUACCCUCCUCCUGGGGUCAGCAGAAAGGCUGGAGCAGCUCUUCUCACAGAAGGGUCAAGAGGUCAAGUGGAGGCGUGAGAAGCAUCUUCGGGCCUAUGCUUGACACUGGCACAUUGUCCCUUGUUGGCCUAAGAGAGUGACAAAGACAAGAAAUGGGGACGUGCACUCUAUACAUGGACAUGGUGAUAGGAGAGGGGAUUCAUAGCUCUGAUCUAAUCUCUCUCUCUCUACAUCUGCGUACAUGUAUGUAUCUACAUUUAUCCAUCUAUAUACAUCUAUCUCCACAGCUACAUGUAUAUACAUUACCUAUUUAUCUCUACAUCUAUCUAUCUAUCCAUCUACAUCUAUAUACAUCUGUCUGUCUCUACAUCUACAUACAGGCAUAUAUUUACACUUAUCUAUCUAUCCAUCUACAUAUAUCUGUCUAUCUACAUCUAUUUAUCUGUCUAUAUAUUUAGAGAUAUUCAUUUCUAUGUGUAUAUAAAGAGUUUUAAAAAAGGAUAGACCACAAAUUAAUGGGAGUUUUGUGAACAUGGUAGAUUUUAAAAUCAUUUUUAUUUUUUCUUUAAAUUUUUGCCAUACGUACCCUGCUUGGUGUAAUCUUAUAACAACAAUAAAGACAUUUUAUUGC
rnacentral:lncRNA from 1 species